rnacentral:lncRNA from 1 species
AGAAAAUGAUUUCUCAGAAUUCCUCAUUACAUGAAAUUUAUCCACUUCACAAUGCUCAACCUCUAAGUUUCAGUAUCAAUUUCUUGCAGAUACAUGACUUUUGCUUGGAAUGUCUCACCAGCAUUCUCAAAAAGUAGAACUUAAAAAUAAGUUACAUUAAUGACAUCAUUUGGCAUCCCCAUAACAUCAAGACCAUAGUUUAUUCAGAUGUGCAUCUGAUUUUAAAAUUACAAAAGUCUAACAUCAUCAAUUAUGACAAAAGUUUCUGCCUCAUAUACAUUUCCUUUUCCUGUGUCCCAUCCCCCACUAUGUAGGGAACUGCAGACUUUAUCAUUUUGAAAUUCAUUUCAACCUUCAUACCUUGCUUUUAAGGGCGAAAUGAAGAUGAACAACACUAAAACGUGAAAAUCAGAAAAGGCCUCAUGUUGUAUGUUACUAUAUAUAAGAAAGCAAGAUAAGGGAAUGACAAUAACUCUGCUUACUUGGGAAGACUUCAUAGCAGUUGGAUGGAGCUUAGUAUAAAAUACACAACAAAACACAUUGCAACAAUAUAAUUCAUUGCGUUCAUUUUAUAUAGGAGAAAGAGAGCUCGAACUUGGUUUAUAUAGUGAACAUGUAAAGCACUUAAAUAUGAUACAAAUACAAUCAAAAUUCUUGAUGCAACAAUUGAGUGAGCUAUAAGCAAGAUGAAUAUUUGGGCAAGGUUUAUUGUUAUUUACCAAAACAAACUUAACAGAUGAACUAUCUUUGCUAAAUCAAGAGAGAACCAAAGGUGAUAUCUUUUUAGGUUUAUAUUGAUGGUGUUGUCCAGAAAGUUGAGGCAUUAAUCGAGAUAAAGGAAAACAUUCAUCUAUUUUCAUCUUCUAGGUUAAAGGACUUUAACAUAAUACAUGACCAUGACCAGAAGUGCACCUCGAUGGAAUACUUUCAUUUCAUAAUCAGACGGUUAAACUAUAUGGUGUUUGUCAUCAAAAUGUCAAAGAAAAGGAUAAUUGAAAAUGUAGUCUAAUUUCAUUGAAGAUAUCCUCAGAAGUUUUGAAGGGUAUGUUGGGUGCCAUAUGAUGAACCAUCGUAAAAGUACUCACGAGAAUUGAAAUCAUAGAGCCACCUAAAUCAGAAUUCAAAAUAGACAUACAAAUCAAGAAGUUGUUUAAAAAAGCCAUAGAAAUUAUAAAAUAUGGUUAUUUUCGGAGCAAAACGAUUAGUUGUAAUGGCAUACCUGUAAACUACAGACAUCCAAGGUCUAAUAGGGCUGUAGCCUAAUAUAACUGCCUUCCUCAGAGUAGGGACUGAAUCAAAUGUCUUCGUGCAACCUGGAAUAGAGAAAAAUGUGAAAGUUAUAGUUUUUAUAUAUAGAUGUAAAAAUGAGUAUAAAAUACAACAAUCUAAUUUCUACUAUUCGUUUUUCUAAGGGUGAAAGUGAUAUCGGAACUGCAACAACUUGUACAACAUUUUUCUUUCGAGAGUAAAUUAAGCAGGAACAGAUUGUACAGGAAGUUGGUAAGACACAAUGCAAAAUCCAUUCAAAACAUCAAAGAGAUUACCAUCCCCAUGGUUCAUACUAUUUACCACUGUUAAACAAUAUAAGAAUGGAAAAUUUGGUUAGAAUUUUGCUACUUAAUGAAAAUGAAUGGAGGUUCAAAUCAAAGAGACAAAAAUUAUCUUGGAGACGUGAUGUUUCUAGGGUGAGACAUUAAUAUUCUUACAAAAGUAAAAAUGUCUAUCAUUUUGGUGCGUUUUCCAUAUAGACCAACAUUCAAGCAAAGAAACUUAAAGACUUCGUAGACUAUAGUGGUAUGGUAAUUAUGAAAUAAAAAUAUAACACUCUUAUGCCGACUUCUAUAGUUGACACUAUUUAUUUCAAAAUGGAGCAAGAAACAAUAGAAUUGGCUAAUGUAUUCAAAUACAUAUAUAUAUAUUCUACAACAUUGAAGAGAAGACCUAACAAAAGAGAGAGCUUAGCUCUUCAAAGCCAAUGUCUCAAUUUCC